rnacentral:rRNA from 1 species
UACAGAGGGGGCAAGCGUUAUUCGGAAUUAUUGGGCGUAAAGGGCGCGUAGGCGGCUUGGCAAGUGGAUGGUGAAAUCCCUCGGCUUAACCGAGGAACUGCCGUCCAAACUGCUUCGCUUGAGACCGGGAGAGGUGAGUGGAAUUCCCAGUGUAGCGGUGAAAUGCGUAGAUAUUGGGAAGAACACCUGAGGCGAAGGCGGGUUGCUGGGCCGACACUGACGCUGAGGCGCGAAAGCCAGGGGAGCGAACGGG